ACCUAGAAACAACUCUACGAACGAUCUGUGAAGAAGUUUGGCCGAGAUCUCAACCCGAAGGCGGAGAUUCGAGAAUCGUUCGAGAACAGGACCUAAUUUAAGGAAAUCAGUAUUUUUGGACACCUCACGGGCAAAGAAACGCUAGCAAAAAGGCACGCGUCAACCAGGUAAGUCACCACUCGGUAUUUAGGAAGAAAUACUUGUAGGAUUCGCUUGGACUGCAUGCAUGCUAGUAAUUUUGCUUCAUAUUAGCUCUCCAUGUAAAAUAUUAGUCAGAUUAAUUGUUAUGAGUGUAUUGGGUGAAUUAUCUGAGUGUUGCUUCUAUGCUUU